GGAGCGCAAAGGGAUUGCAUGAACUUUGUUGGUGGUAUAACUGUCCCAAACGAUCAAUUUUCCAUCUUGCGACGCUGACACUAAAUACCUUGAGUCACUGCCCCAGUGCAUGGCAUAAAUCUUGGCUAAGUGACCACGAAGUGUGCGUCUCGUACGCAUUUGUAUCCGGCCGAUAGGCUCCAUGCCCGACGUGGCUUGAACCAACGUCGUAUCGCAAGCUGCUUUCCUGGCAUCCUGAAAAACAGAUAUAAAAAAAUAUAUAUAAAAGAUUGGCUCGAUAAAUUUCAAUUCAG